rnacentral:lncRNA from 1 species
GGAUGAAGAAGUUAUCCCACUUUCAAAUUAGGUGAUCCCAGUUUUCCUGUUUGGGAAUAUGACAACUUCCUCGUCAUUCUAAUCAAACCAGGAUGAAUCGCGAUGUAUGAAGCUGUAUUUGGAUACAUAAAGUAGUGGAGAAUCACCAGGAAGUGGAAUAAAUCUCAUAGGAAUUAGGAUGAAGAAAUUAUCCCACUUUCAAAUCAGGUGAUUCCAGUUUUCCUGUUUGGGAAUAUGACAACUUCCCCGUCAUUCUGAUCAAACCAGGAUGAAUCGCGAUGUAAGAAGCAUUAUUUGGAUACAUAAAGUAGUGGAGAAUCACCAGGAAGUUGAAUAAAUCUCAUAGGAGUUAGGAA